GUCGAAGAAAUCUCUGGACUCUUCCAAUCCUCUGACAUGUCAUCUAUAUCCGACUCAGCCCAAUACAAUUAAUAAGGUUUCAAUUCACUUUUCAAAUGCCACAAUUAUCCAAUACUCAAUUAUCACAUAAAUCACAAUUUCACAUACACUCAAUUCAAUAUAAAAAAUGCUAACACUUACCUUAUUUACUUACCAUAAACAUUUAA
rnacentral:lncRNA from 1 species